rnacentral:rRNA from 1 species
UUGAUUCUGGCUCAGAUUGAACGCUGGCGGCAUGCUUUACAACAUGCAAGUCGAACGGUAACAGGGAGCUUGCUCCGCUGACGAGUGGCGAACGGGUGAGUAAUAUAUCGGAACGUACCCAAGAGUGGGGGAUAACGUAGCGAAAGUUACGCUAAUACCGCAUACGAUUCUAAGGAUGAAAGCAGGGGACCCUUCGGGCCCUUGUGCUUCCUGGAGCGGCCGAUAUUCUGAUUAGUCUAGUUGGUGAGGUAAAGGCUCACCAAGGCGACGAUCAGUAGCUGGUUCUGAGAGGACGACCAGCCACACUGGAACUGAGACACGGUCCAGACUCCUACGGGAGGCAGCAGUGGGGAAUUUUGGACAAUGGGCGCAAGCCUGAUCCAGCAAUGCCGCGUGAGUGAAGAAGGCCUUCGGGUUGUAAAGCUCUUUUGUCAGGGAAGAAACGGCU